rnacentral:rRNA from 1 species
CCUACGGGUGGCAGCAGUGAGGAAUAUUGGUCAAUGGACGAGAGUCUGAACCAGCCAAGUAGCGUGAAGGAUGACUGCCCUAUGGGUUGUAAACUUCUUUUAUAUGGGAAUAAAAUGUUCCACGUGUGGGAUUUUGUAUGUACCAUAUGAAUAAGGAUCGGCUAACUCCGUGCCAGCAGCCGCGGUAAUACGGAGGAUCCGAGCGUUAUCCGGAUUUAUUGGGUUUAAAGGGAGCGUAGGUGGAUUGUUAAGUCAGUUGUGAAAGUUUGGGGCUCAACCGUAAAAUUGCAGUUGAAACUGGCAGUCUUGAGUUCAGUAGAGGUGGGCGGAAUUCGUGGUGUAGCGGUGAAAUGCUUAGAUAUCACGAAGAACUCCGAUUGCGAAGGCAGCUCACUGGACUGCAACUGACGCUGAGGCUCGAAAGUGUGGGUAGCAAACAGGAUUAGAGACCCGAGUAGUC